AAGACCAUAUUUCAGGGAUCAUUUCUAUAGUUCAUUACUAGAGAAGUUUCUCUGAACAGGUAGAGCACUAGAAACCAUAAGGAGGAGGUACAGCGUUCUCUUCUGAGCGUGACGCUGACUCUUGGUGUUGCUUUUGCUGCAAUUUCCAUGUACCAUUGAUGAUUGUCCUUGUCUUCCUUUGGGAGAGUAAGAUGGAGGGGAUGCAGUCUGAGUGCU
ensembl:snoRNA U3 Small nucleolar RNA U3